rnacentral:rRNA from 1 species
AACGGAGGGGGCAAGUGUUACUCGUCAUAACUGGGCGUAAAGGGUAUGUAGGCGGUUUUUUAAGUUAAAAAUAAAAUCUUAGUGCGAAACGCUAAUUAUGUUUUUAAUACUAAAAAUCUAGAGUGCGAAAGAGGAAAGUGGUAUUCUUAUUGUAGAGGUGAAAUUCUGAGAUAGUAAGAGGACGAUCGAAGGCGAAGGCAACUUUCUGGGUCGAUACUGACGCUGAGGUACGAAAGCAUGGGGAGCAAACAGG